rnacentral:lncRNA from 1 species
CAGCCCCCACACCACUAGAGGGAUGUCUCCAACCACCAACUUACCGUCCUAAGACAAGGCCGAGUAUAGCCCACAACGAUCUCCGCCAUGGCACAACCCAAGGGGGGGGCGCCAACCCAGACAGGAAGACCACCAAUGAUUAUAUUCUGCAUUUGCGUAUGUGAUGAAUGACGAUAGCUGGCAAUCAACUGCAGUGAUGGAUUAUUACCACAUAUCAUGGAAUACCUGUGUGCACGUUUAUAAGGACACAUGGCAUGGAAUUAUUGGAUUUGGCUGGAUGGUUGACACAAUAGAAAGGUAGGGCAAUAUUUUUGGGCCUUUAAAUUCUUACAAUAAGAAGACUUAAUAGCCAACACAGGUAGGCUAAUGAUAGGCUAAUCCAGUGAGAUUGUGAACUUCAACCUUUUGAAAAUGUUAUUUAACAGCAAAUAGCCUAGCAUUAUGUGAAAUGCAUUUGGUAAACUGUAUAAAAGCCACAAUCCUUAAUUCACGUUUCAGAGAAAAGGAUGAGAGAGGUGAGAGGAGUGGGAGGUGAGUUGAGGGAAGUGGGUUUCAGGUAGGAUUCUGGGUCAUUAAGUAUUCAUUGGAUUUAAAUUAUGCUGGAGGAGAGAGAGGGUUGAGAAGAUUAGACUAUUGCUUAAAGUGGAGGAGGGGUGGGAUAACAGAAGAAAGAAAGAGUGGAGAGAAGGACAGGGACAGCAUACUAAGACACACACUUCAGAGUCUGGGCUAUAAUAGGGAGCACUCCUGUCAAUCUAGAAAAGUCACAAAGCCAACCCCCUGACACACACACACACACACACACACACACACACACACACACACACACACACACACACACACACACACACACACACAGAAAGAAAGAGAAAAAGAGAUAUGUAUAAUGUUAUUCUGAGCAGCACUCCAUUGGCCAUAAGGCUAACAUAAGACCAUGCAUGUGCCUAGUCUCUAAUGCCUGGAAUAAUAGCAGACGCACGCACACACAAACAGACACACACACAUAACAGGCUGCGCCUGUGUAUAUUUGGUCCCAAAGCCGCAGAAUAAUAGCAGUCAUUACCAAGAUGAUCUCUCUCUCACACACCGUCACAUUGUCCAGCAAGUUAUUCCGAAGCCAGUGUAUCUUAUUACCCAGCAGCCCCAACACUGCUCUAUUAUUCAGGGUGGGAGGGAGGGGGAGAGAGGGAAUGUUUUAUUCAGCUGAGUCUACUGGGGAAGGAGCUGCUCACUGUGCUACUUACAACAGGCCUAUGUAGGCCAAGGAGACAAACGAAUGUACCACACACACACACACACACACACACACACACACACACAACACUAAAUUAAAUAGUCAGAUGACAUUUACCAGAUCACAGUUACUCUGACACCUUGUCUCGUCUGUGUGUGUGUCCUUGGCAACCUCUCGUUAACACACAUACACAAGCGUGACAACGGGCGGUGGUGGCUGAGUAUGAGAGAAGUCAUGUUUGGUAAAAGCCUUAGUAAGUGUCCGUCAGCUUGUGUGUGUGGGUGUUUAAUAAGCUAUGUGAGCAUGUGUGGUUUGCUCUGUGGCAGCUUUGUGUUCGAGACCACCUAAAGCGAGAUCGAUUCAAGACCGGAGAAAAUCGAGUCCGAGUCAAAACCAAGACUGGUUGGGGGGCGAGACCUAGUCAAGACCGAGACCAGAAAAAUGCGAGUCCAAUUCAAGACCAUGAUUGUAAUUGUGUCAAAUCACCACAUAAGAGUUGAAAAUGUCCAGUAUUUCUGUGUUCAUAUUUCAGAACAACAUAUGGAUGCUUUAGACAUUCAGAAUAGUGAACAAAUGGAAAAUAGAGCCACUCUACAAAUGAUUACUAACUCAAACACAGUAGAAAACAAUGGGCCUUCUAUGCCUUCAGAGAAGGGCUAAGGAUUUAUAAAAUAAUGAUUAUAGUAAUGAUAACUGUAAAAUUAUUUUCAAUGACGUUCUGAUUUAAUGUCUAUAGUUUUUGUUGAAAAGAAAAGGGUUAACACUGCUGGACUCUGGGGAGAUAAAUCUAGCUAGCUAAGUCUGCCAUUGGCUAGGCCAUCAGAAGCUAGAUAAAGGCAUCUGUCAUUCAACUGUAUUAGGGCAACAUUUUGGAGUGACAGUGGAAUCAACCAAUCACAUUUUGAUUUAAUGGGUGGGACUGUUUUUACAAAAAGGUAUGGACACUUCUGCCUUCUUGAAGGCCAACAGGUCACUUGUGAGCAAUAGUGAGCAAUAGUGAGCAGUAGUUUUUCCACGGUUUAGCUAGCUAGCUUUUGUUGUUGGCUAGUUUGCAGCGGCUACAGCAGGUGUUAUCAAAGAGGAUAGCUUCUCCCUUUUCAAGAAUAACUUUCAACAAGAAUUUAUCAUCAUCUGGUGAGUGGAACUGUGUUUUUUAUUGCAGCGUGCUUGCUGUUGUUAGCCAUCUCUUUGAAAAUAACUUGUGUAUGAAACAUUGUUGCAUUUUAAGUGGAACUGAAAGCAUUUUAGCAAUAUGAAAUCUUAUUACAAUCUGUUCAUAUACACCCACAGGAAGAAUUACACUUUAAAAAAAAAAUUCUGACAAACGACCACUUAGAUAUGGUCAUUUUCACAUUUUCCUAAAUUCAUAGUGUUUGGGAAUUAAGUAUACUAAAGGCAUGUGAAAAUUCUAUAGAAAUAUAGAGUGGGAAAGCGGCUGUGCGUUUGGACAAUUAAUAAAUAAAUAAAACCAAAUAAAAACAUCUGUCUUGUCCAGUAAUGGAGUCUACACAGAACGUUGAGCUAUAGCCAAUCAGAGCUACAGUACUGUAGGCCUUUAUAUAAACAAGACGUUUGCCACAUGGGCCUGCCAUCAUUCACUUUGAACUGGACUGUGUGUUUACAGGUAGUUGGGCCUGCCGUCAUCCACUUUGAACUGGACUGUGUGUUUACAGGUAGUUGGGCCUGCCGUCAUCCACUUUGAACUGGACUGUGUGUUUACAGGUUCCUGCUACAGCACUGCCUCAUACGAUUCCCUUCAACGAGAAAGUUUGUCACGACUUCCGCCGGAGUAGGUACCUCUCCUUGUUCGAGCGGCGUUCGAGCGGCGUUCGGCGGUCGACGUCACCGGCCUUCUAGCCAUCACCGAUCCACUUUUAAUUUUCCAUUUGUUUUGUCUUUGGUUUUUACACACCUGGUUUCAAUUCCCCAAUUACAUGUUCAUUAUUUAACACUCUGUUUUCCCCCAUGUUUGUGUGCGUGUUUGUUUUAUUGUAAGGCUGUAUCUGACGGCUGGUAUAUUGUUACCGGGUUUUGUAUUUACGCCCAUAAUAUUGUGUUUAUACUGGUG